GGAGGGGGGGAUCUAGCAUAGUGGUUAGGCUUCUGACUGUCAAUCAGAAGGUCAUGGGUUCAAUUCCCACCCCCUCCA